rnacentral:rRNA from 1 species
GAUGAACGCUGGCGGCGUGCCUAAUACAUGCAAGUCGAGCGAACAGAUGAGGAGCUUGCUCCUCUGACGUUAGCGGGGGACGGGUGAGUAAAACGUGGAUAACCUACCUAUAAGACUGGGAUAACUUCGGGAAACCGGAGCUAAUACCGGAAAAUCUAUUGAACCGCAUGGUUCAAUAGUGAAAGACGGUUUUGCUGUCACUUAUAGAUGGAUCCGCGCCGGAUUAGCUAGUUGGUAAGGUAACGGCUUACCAAGGCAACGAUGCCUAGCCGACCUGAGAGGGUGAUCGGCCACACUGGAACUGAGACACGGUCCAGACUCCUACGGGAGGCAGCAGUAGGGAAUCUUCCGCAAUGGGCGCAAGCCUGACGGAGCAACGCCGCGUGAAUGAUGAAGGUCUUCGGAUCGUAAAACUCUGUUAUUAGGGAAGAACAAAUGUGUAAGUAACUAUGCACUUCUUGACGGUACCUAAACAAAAAGCCACGGCUAACUACGUG